GGGGGUGUACUGGUUUCGACAGGGAUAUGUAUGGUAUGAACUGCAGUCGAGUGGUUACGUUAUAACCAAAAUAAAUUUAACUGGAAAAACUAAAUUAGCUAACAUCUUUGGUGGAAACCAGAGAGUUGCUUUCGCUGCUUAAUAACCGACAUAGGUUCGCAGCCGCUGCCAAUGCAUUGACCUUUGGUGCUUGGAUGUGCGCUUAAGAUACGAAGGUUAAGGAAGCUGUCUUUCGCCUGAGAGCUGUUUCACGAAAAUUUAUCAGGCACAUUCAAUGGGAGUUGUUCAUGAUUACCUGUUGAAUAUAUGACAUGAACUAAACUGUAGACGUUCAUACGUGGUGCUGUUUCUGGACGCGGGUUCAAUUCCCGCCACCUCCACCA
rnacentral:tmRNA from 1 species